rnacentral:rRNA from 1 species
GGUUGUGGAUGGGCUCACGGCCUAUCAGCUUGUUGGUGGGGUAAUGGCCUACCAAGGCGACGACGGGUAGCCGGCCUGAGAGGGUGACCGGCCACACUGGGACUGAGACACGGCCCAGACUCCUACGGGAGGCAGCAGUGGGGAAUAUUGCACAAUGGGCGCAAGCCUGAUGCAGCGACGCCGCGUGAGGGAUGACGGCCUUCGGGUUGUAAACCUCUUUCAGCACGGAAGAAGCGAAAGUGACGGUACGUGCAGAAGAAGCGCCGGCUAACUACGUGCCAGCAGCCGCGGUAAUACGUAGGGCGCAAGCGUUGUCCGGAAUUAUUGGGCGUAAAGAGCUCGUAGGCGGUUUGUCGCGUCUGCUGUGAAAGCCCGGGGCUUAACCCCGGGUGUGCAGUGGGUACGGGCAGACUUGAGUGCAGUAGGGGAGACUGGAACUCCUGGUGUAGCGGUGAAAUGCGCAGAUAUCAGGAAGAACACCGAUGGCGAAGGCAGGUCUCUGGGCUGUUACUGACGCUGAGGAGCGAAAGCAUGGGGAGCGAACAGGAUUAGAUACCCUGGUAGUCCAUGCCGUAAACGUUGGGCACUAGGUGUGGGGGACAUUCCACGUUUUCCGCGCCGUAGCUAACGC